rnacentral:lncRNA from 1 species
UGCAGCUGUGUGAACAUGUGUGUCUCCACUCAACUUGGGCCAACUAGGAGUAAGACCUUCUUCCAUUAGUGAAGAAAGUAUAUUUAGCUGGGCAUGGUGGCUCUCGCCUAUAAUCCCAGCACUUUGGGAGGCCGAAGUAGGCAGAUCACUUGAGGUCAGGAGUUUGAGCCCAGCCUGGCUAACAUGGUGAAACCCUGUCUCUACUAAAGAUACAAAAAUUAGAUGAGCGUGGUGACAGGCUUCUGUAGUCUCAGCUACUCAGGAGGCUGAGGUGGGAGAAUCACUUGAACCCGGGAAGCAGAGGUUGCAGUGACCUGAGAUCACGCCACUGCACUCCAGCCUGGGCAACAGAGUGAGACUGUCUCAAAAAAAAAAAAGAAAGAAAGAAAAAGAAAGUAUGUUUGGACACCUAACAGCAACUAAGUUCUCAGCUCAAGAAGUCUGGAGCUUGAUGAGCGCAUGGCACCCUGCCUUCCAGAGACAAGGUUCCCAACAACUGUGCUGAAUGAAUGGAGGAAAAAUGAACCCAAACCAGGAAUACAAAUCCUUGUGUGUGAACAUAAACCUACUUCCAAAAUUCUUGAGGAAUCCCUAACUCAAGUCCCCCAAGUCCUGUUUGGUUGUGCACAGAAAGAGAUAUUACAAGAGGAGCCGUGGGAACCUGAAAAAAUGAAUGGGGAGUGGCAGUCCCUUCUUAUUAAUGUGAUCAAGACCAAUAAAUGUAUAUUGUA